rnacentral:rRNA from 1 species
UACGUAGGGUGCAAGCGUUAAUCGGAAUUACUGGGCGUAAAGCGUGCGCAGGCGGUUUGGAAAGAAAGAUGUGAAAUCCCAGAGCUUAACUUUGGAACUGCAUUUUUAACUGCCAAGCUAGAGUAUGUCAGAGGGGGGUAGAAUUCCACGUGUAGCAGUGAAAUGCGUAGAGAUGUGGAGGAAUACCGAUGGCGAAGGCAGCUCCCUGGGAUAAUACUGACGCUCAUGCACGAAAGCGUGGGGAGCAAACAGG